AAAUGGAAGGUUCGGAGUUCCUUCUAGAACAUGGAUGUUCCGUUCAGAGAGUCUCUCUCUCACUCAACCGCCUCACCAGUGAACACGGAGUUUUCUCUGGACGAAAAGCAACUCAACAAGCACCCAGUGAACAAUAGGAUCACAAAGAAGCUGGCCGGCCACUGCAGGGGACAGCUCUCUGGGUGACCUCCAUCGGCAAUGAGGUCGGCCAGAUACUGACCAGUGUCCUGACGGUGCAGGAGCGGCCGGGACUGGACCUGAUGGUCUCCGGAGUGUCUGUGUUGGAUGCGUACCCGAGAACUCGCAGGAAUACAGGACUGGUACCUCUGUAGUAUCCUUAAGAGAGGCAGUGGCCCCCGAGGGCCACCAGUAUGUACGAUUCCCGUCAACAUACUGUAGCCUUGUAUCCGGGUUGAGCUGGCGGGACUCGAGUGGAGUUGGCCGAACUUCACGUUGAUCCACAUCUCCGGUGGAUGACGAAUCUCAAAAAACGUGCACGGGUUCUUAUUUUCUCCUCCUCCCCCUUUAAGGUGGUGGAGGAGUCUGAGUCGCUUGCUCCUUGACCCCGAGCCAAUGAGCGGUUCAAUUGUGUUUAUAUUAGAAUAGAAUACAAUAGAAUAUAGAAUAGGUAGGUAGGUAUUCCUUUAUUAGUCCCACUGUGGGGAAAUUUAAAAAUCCCAAAAGUUUAGAAUGAAUUAUUUUGUAUGUGUUGCAUCUUCAAAUUCACUCUGAUUCUUCUUUCAGUUUUGUAAAUCACGCUUUGGUGGGUCAAAGUCGGCCUCACUAAAGCCACAUUUAGUGGCUAGGAGGACCCCCAGCCCUUCUCCUCCUCCUCCUUUCAUAUCCUCUGUGAGGACACCCAGCAGCCCUACUGGGAACUAUGGCAUUGCAGAAGAUGCUGGUGAGCCUGGAGGAGUUCAGCUAGCCGCUGCUGGGGCUGCAGCUUCAUUCUGGUUGCCGUCGGAGAUGAGAAAGACCCUCCCUGUGCAGGACCAGAGGUGGAUUGCCAACACCCUCUUAACGAUCUACAUUUGUGUCAGACAGGAAUUUUUAUGUACAGAUUUAUGAACAAUAAUCUGCCCCACAAUCUGUUACGUAUGUUCACAAGGAACACAAAUGUCUGCAACCACAACACGCGCCUGCGUGGCAUACAUAUUAAUAAACAUACAGUCGACAUUGUAUUUAAAAGCUUCAUCCGUAGAGGUCCAAAGCUCUGGAGCCAAAUUCCGGACGAGGUCAAAUCAGCAUCCACCACCAAGGCAUUUGGUUCUCGCCUUAAACGCCAUCUCACUUCACUUUAAAAGUUAUUAUUAUUGAUAUACAGCCUGGCGGCACAGUACAAUAGAGGAAAGAUAUUUGAAUUUUAUUUUAUAUACAUACCUUGAUGUUCUUGAUAUUAUUAUUUUUUCUAAGUUAUCAGUAGUUCACAUUUGCCUUUAUUAUUAUUUUUACUAUGUUUCUUUUUUAUUUUCUUUUUGUUUUUCCUGUUCUGGUUUUUUGUUGUUGUUGCUUGUACGACAUUUUAUGUUUUGAUCCAUGUGUGUGUGUACUGUCUGUGUGCCUGUCGUAGUUGGGAGGGGGGGGGCCGUCCAACUCCUCAUCGCAGAGGAGCCUACAGACCUCGGUCUUUGGACGGUCCUCCAUUCGUACAUUUUUGUUGUUAAUGUCUGUCAGUAUGAUGGCGGCACAAGCGUUUACCUGUCUGUUUGUCCUGUAAUUGAGUGUUUGUUUUUACUGUGUUUCAGUUCAGAUUUAUCCAAGAUACUACAUGAGCGGAAUGUGGCUUGGGCCAAGGCAAGGGGUUCUGGUCUGGAGUCAGAUUGGCUGCUUUUUAGGCAACUGCGCAAUGCUUGUACAGUUGCAAUUAAAAAAGCUAAAGCUGAGCAUUUUUUAAGUGAAACGUCAAACAACCUCAACAAUCCAAGACUGUUUUGGAGGACAAUAAAAUCUUUAUCUGGAAGUAGAAAUGGUAUUGAGCUUCCCGCUUGCAUUGUCAAGGACUCUAAUGACAUCUCUGACAAAGCCAUAAUGCUGGACUGCUUUAAUGAGCACUUCAUUGCCUCUGGUUCCCUGUUUGACACUCUAAACCAGGGGUAUUCAACUAAAAUGUUAAGAGGUCCAGUUAGAGAAAUUUUCUUGAAGCAAAAGUCCAGAAGAUCAUAAUGUCUAACUAUUUAGUGUGAUAUAUAUACAUACCUGCAAACUUGUCACCUUUCGAUGAAAUUCACCGUUUUGAACUCAAAAUAGGUCAUCCACGUGAAUCGUGGAGAUCCGAAGAGUUUUUUUGGGGGGGGUCACCUGGCCCGCUGCCGUUGAGAUUGCAGUGAGACGCGGAGAAAAGUGUGAAGUGUUGCUCUUCGCAAUAAAACAUCUUUGAUGGGACGUGUCGCGUCUCGGCCAAUCAGCGUUCAGAUGUCCACAGCGUUUGGGGGUUCAGGUUAGCUUGAAUGUUAGCCCGCUACAUCUACUCCUGUCACGCUGCACGGUGUAGCGAUGCUAACAAAGUACCCGUACAUUAAACACGAUGUGAUUUAG